AUUGAACGCUGGCGGCAGGCCUAACAUAUGCAAGUCGAGCGGAGAUGAGGUGCUUGCACCUUAUCUUAGCGGCGGACGGGUGAGUAAUGCUUAGGAAUCUGCCUAUUAGUGGGGGACAACAUUCCGAAAGGAAUGCUAAUACCGCAUACGUCCUACGGGAGAAAGCAGGGGAUCUUCGGACCUUGCGCUAAUAGAUGAGCCUAAGUCGGAUUAGCUAGUUGGUGGGGUAAAGGCCUACCAAGGCGACGAUCUGUAGCGGGCCUGAGAGGAUGAUCCGCCACACUGGGACUGAGACACGGCCCAGACUCCUACGGGAGGCAGCAGUGGGGAAUAUUGGACAAUGGGGGGAACCCUGAUCCAGCCAUGCCGCGUGUGUGAAGAAGGCCUUAUGGUUGUAAAGCACUUUAAGCGAGGAGGAGGCUACUGAGACUAAUACUCUUGGAUAGUGGACGUUACUCGCAGAAUAAGCACCGGCUAACUCUGUGCCAGCCGCCGCAGUAAUAC
rnacentral:rRNA from 1 species